UUAUACCCACAAAAAUAUCGCCCCCCCGGGGGCGAAACCUUCGGGAUGCCCUAGUAUCAGUCGGGGAGAGAGCGGGCUAUACAACUAGCAAGAAAUGUUCCCCGGGUUUGCACGGGGAAAAGUAUGACCCCUUUUAGGGGAUAUUUUGGAAGAAUAACCCCAAAAAGCAAUCCCCUAUUUGUUAAGGGCAAAGCCCAUUAAGAAGGCCUCGUUUUUUGCUGUUGGGGGUAAGGUUCACCAGGCAACAUAAUUCCGCCUGAAAGGUGAUGGCCAACUUGGAUGAGACACGGCCCAAAUCCUACGGAAGCAGCAGUAGGAAUUUUCGGCAAUGGGGCCACCCUGACCGAGCAACGCCGCGUGAGUGAAGAAGGUUUUCGGAUCGUAAAGCUCUGUUGUAAGAGAAGAACGAGUGUGAGAGUGGAAAGUUCACACUGUGACGGUAACUUACCAGAAAGGGACGGCUAACUACGUGCCAGCAGCCGCGGUAAUACGUAGGUCCCGAGCGUUAUCCGGAUUUAUUGGGCGUAAAGCGAGCGCAGGCGGUUAGAUAAGUCUGAAGUUAAAGGCUGUGGCUUAACCAUAGUACGCUUUGGAAACUGUUUAACUUGAGUGCAGAAGGGGAGAGUGGAAUUCCAUGUGUAGCGGUGAAAUGCGUAGAUAUAUGGAGGAACACCGGUGGCGAAAGCGGCUCUCUGGUCUGUAACUGACGCUGAGGCUCGAAAGCGUGGGGAGCAAACAGG
rnacentral:rRNA from 1 species